UUUGGAAGCAAGGUGGACUCCUGAGCCCUCCUGGAGGUUCUAGCCAAACUCGCCUGUUCUAUUUCACUCAGUGGAUUUUUAAGAUUUAUUUUAUUACUUCAAUUGUGGGCAUGUGUGUGAGAGAGAAAGACUACAUGCAUUUGCAUAUAUGCAUGCAGGUGCCUGUGGAGGCCCAGAGCAAGAUAUUGGAUCUCCUGAAGCUGGAGUUACUGGCAGUUGUAAGCCCUGGUACAUGGAUGCUAGGAACCAAACUCUGAUCCCAGCAGAAGUGAAGGAUCCUGUUGCAGCGUGAUUCUUCCUAGCCAGUUGAGCGCGUGCAAGAAGUGGUGCCGAAACCCGGGACCCAGGACAAGGGACAAGAAACAUCCUCAGGCACGAGCGAAGACCCCCUGCUACAGGGAGGAUUCAGAACUGCAUCACGGGGAAGAAGGGGUUAAUAAAGGUUCCCG
rnacentral:lncRNA from 1 species